rnacentral:rRNA from 1 species
CAAUAGCGUAUAUUUAAGUUGUUGCAGUUAAAAGCUCGUAGUUGGAUUUUGGGUGCGGCAGGCCGGUCCGCCCUUUGGGUGUGCACUGGCAGGCGGCAUCUUUCUGUCGAGGACGCGCUCCUGGCCUUCACGGGUCGGGACGCGGAGUCGGCGCGGUUACUUUGAAAAAUUAGAGUGUUCAAAGCGGGCGUACGCUUGAAUAUAUUAGCAUGGAAUAACAUUAUAGGACUCCCGUCCUAUUCUGUUGGUCUUCGGGAUGGGAGUAAUGAUUAAGAGGAACAGUUGGGGGCAUUCGUAUUUCAUUGUCAGAGGUGAAAUUCUUGGAUUUAUGAAAGACGAACUUCUGCGAAAGCAUUUGCCAAGGAUGUUUUCAUUAAUCAAGAACGAAAGUUGGGGGCUCGAAGACGAUUAGAUACCAU